rnacentral:rRNA from 1 species
AAACUUAAAUGAAUUGACGGACCCCGCACAAGCGGUGGAUUAUGUUGCUUAAUUCGACGCAACGCGAAGAACCUUACCAGGCCUUGACAUACUCGGCAAAGCUCUAGAGAUAGAGUGGAGGUUUAUCCGGGAUACAGGUGGUGCAUGGUUGUCGUCAGCUCGUGUCGUGAGAUGUUGGGUUAAGUCCCGCAACGAGCGCAACCCUUGUCUUUAGUUACCAUCAUUCAGUUGGGGACUCUAGAGAGACUGCCGGUGAUAAACCGGAGAAGGUGGGGAUGACGUCAAAUCAUCAUGCCCCUUAUGGCCUGGGCUACAAACGUAAUACAAUGGCGUAUACAAAGGGAUGCGAAAGGGCGACCUGGAGCAAAACUCACAAAGUACGUCUCAGUUCAGAUUGGAGUCUGCAACUCGACUCCAUGAAGGCGGAAUCGCUAGUAAUCGCGGAUCAGCAUGCCGCGGUGAAUACGUUCUCGGGGUUU